CCUACGGGAGGCAGCAGUGGGGAAUAUUGGGCAAUGGGCGCAAGCCUGACCCAGCAACGCCGCGUGAAGGAAGAAGGCUUUCGGGUUGUAAACUUCUUUUCUGAGGGACGAAGAAAGUGACGGUACCUCAGGAAUAAGCCACGGCUAACUACGGGCCAGCAGCCGCGGUAAUACGUAGGUGGCAAGCGUGAUCCGGAUUUAUUGGGUGUAAAGGGCGUGUAGGCGGGAAAGCAAGUCAGAUGUGAAAAAUAAGGGCUCAACCCUGAGCGUGCAUUUGAAACUGUUUUUCUUGAGUGCUGGAGAGGCAAUCGGAAUUCCGUGUGUAGCGGUGAAAUGCGUAGAUAUACGGAGGAACACCAGUGGCGAAGGCGGAUUGCUGGACAGUAACUGACGCUGAGGCGCGAAAGCGUGGGGAGCAAACAGGAUUAGAUACCCGGGUAGUC
rnacentral:rRNA from 1 species